UGGCCCAUGCUCCUCUUUUAGGUGCCCAGAGCACACCCGAGCUGGGGCUCUCCUCGAUCCGUCCGGGUACGGCACCGGUGGCGGCGGCCGGUCUUCUUCUCCGGCCAUCUGCCGCUCUCCUUCCCUUCCCCAUCCGCCCCUAAAAUUCUCCGGCAUCAACCCAGCCUCCUCAGUCUCUAGCCCAUAUCCAUGGAGUUCCAGACUUGGAUUUCAAAGGGAUUCGGUGCCUCAAGAGGAUGAACGCCAUGGCAGCUACACACACGCGGCGGCAGCGGAUUGAAGGAUGCGGCAGCAAAUCGGCGAGCUUGAAGAUAUCAGGGGCAGCAGGCUUUACUGCAAUAUAUUCGUCCAUGAUUUUCUCACCAAAUCUGAAAUUAUUCGCCACCUAAAGUUUAAUCCCCUUGAGAAAAUGAGAGUAUUUAUGUACUAUGCUCUAUGGAUGUUGACAAUUUUGAUUGCAGGGGCUGGCAAAGUAAGUGCAGUGCUUGCCGUUGCAUAUAGAUAUUUAGGGCUACAUCAAACUUCAGUCAGUAGAACAUGAUGACCAGGCAGGGAGGUUCAUGCAGCAUUGGAAGUGAGGAUGUUUGGUGUAGAAUCGGUGCCGCCUCCACUCUACCCCGCCCCUCUGCAUUGUCCUCGGCGGCAAUACGGGCGACCUCGCUGCUUGCCUCGCGUGCAACCACUUCAUCCCCAACCUGUCGGAAGAGAGCAUUGCAGACUGGGCGGACAAACAAUGAGGUGUAGCAGCACAACCUUGCCUCUUUCCCUUACUCUCAUUUACAAGCGAGCCAAAGACACCCCAAGUGAUGGCACGAUGGCCCAUCGUGUAUGAAUGUGCUUCCAAACAAGCUUGCGGCGGCUCAGACCAGACUUGCUUGGCAUACAUGGCUGCAAUGCAUACAUGUGGCGGGAAACAGGCAGGGAAGCUUGGGACUGGAUAUGCAAUUAUGCCUUUGAAAAAUGUGCAUCUCCGCAUCAGAAUUCUUUUGUGGUACGUUCUUCGUAAAGAUAUGCCUCAUGUGAAGUAUACCAUAUGCAGUUGAGGCUAUCAUGCUGAAGGGUAGGAAGAUGGAGGAGUGGAUUAUUUUAGCAAGCUGGUAACCUAUUGGUUUGUGAGUAAUCUUCUGUAUAUACUAUUUAUAGGACUGUUGUUGUGGUGUUGACGACGACAACGAAGUGUGCAGAUGUUUGGUAUGGAGAGAAAUUCAGAAGGACAGGGAGAACUCAUCUCUUCAGAACUAAAGUACACCUCUGAAUCUAUUUGUGAGCAAUUCUUAUGCACUCAAUUGGCCUAUAUACAUGUCUGAUUUAUGCCAAUGAAGUUAACCAAAUGAGAAACCUCAAUGAUAAGUAAUUCUUUAAUAAAACAUCUAACUAUAAUUAUGCUUAAGAUAUUCUAGCUUUCUACAUGGUUAAAUUAUUAUUCUAUUACAUCAUUAUACACUAUCCUAUAAUUUUAAGUCAAGUGUUAAAGUCACUCUGACGCGGAUACUGUAUAUCCAUUGAUAGUUUAUUAGGCGAGGCGUUGUAUUUUUCUUUUGUUUCUUCGGUCUAUUUUGUAAUGAAAGUUACUCUCAAACUGAUGAUUCCA